UAGUGUUAAAUUCUCCUUAGAGGAACUCGCCAUUUAAUCGAUAAUCCCCGAUAAACCCCACUUACAUAAACAGCUUAUAUAUCGCCGUCAAGAUGUUAUUGAACAAUAGUCACCAUAAAAUGAAAACAUAAAAAAUCAGGUCAAGGUGUAGCUUAUAUAUAAGACAUGGUAAGUUACAUUAAAAAAAAAUUUAAAGAGUAAUUGCGAAACCAAUAACACAAAGAGAAUCUAAAAGUAAAGUUAAAAUAGUAUCUUAAUUAGAACCACACAAAACAUGC
rnacentral:rRNA from 1 species